GAUUAACGCUGGCGGCGUGCCUAACACAUGCAAGUCGAGCGGCAGCGAGUUUUACACUGAAUUCUGGAAGCUUCUAGUUGAAAGAGAAGAUUUAUUCAAGAAUUUUGUGUAAAAUGUCGGCGAGCGGCGGACGGCUGAGUAACGCGUGGGAACGUACCCCAAGGUGAGGGAUAACGCAUCGAAAGGUGUGCUAAUACCGCAUAUGGUCUUCGGAUUAAAGCCUUCGGGCGCUUUGGGAACGGCCUGCGUAAGAUUAGAUAGUUGGUGGGGUAAUGGCCUACCAAGUCGACGAUCUUUAACUGGUUUGAGAGGAUGAUCAGUCAGACUGGAACUGAGACACGGUCCAGACUCCUACGGGAGGCAGCAGUGAGGAAUCUUCCACAAUGGGCGAAAGCCUGAUGGAGCAACGCCGCGUGCAGGAUGAAGGCCUUCGGGUUGUAAACUGCUUUUAUAAGUGAGGAUUAUGACAGUAACUUAUGAAUAAGGAUCGGCUAACUACGUG
rnacentral:rRNA from 1 species